GACGAACGCUGGCGGCGUGCUUAACACAUGCAAGUCGAACGGAAAGGCCCUGCUUUUGUGGGGUGCUCGAGUGGCGAACGGGUGAGUAACACGUGAGUAACCUGCCCUUGACUUUGGGAUAACUUCAGGGAACUGGGGCUAAUACCGGAUAGGAGCUCCUGCUGCAUGGUGGGGGUUGGAAAGUUUCGGCGGUUGGGGAUGGACUCGCGGCUUAUCAGCUUGUUGGUGGGGUAGUGGCUUACCAAGGCUUUGACGGGUAGCCGGCCUGAGAGGGUGACCGGCCACAUUGGGACUGAGAUACGGCCCAGACUCCUACGGGAGGGAGCAGUGGGGAAUAUUGCACAAUGGGCGGAAGCCUGAUGCAGCAACGCCGCGUGCGGGAUGACGGCCUUCGGGUUGUAAACCGCUUUCGCCUGUGACGAAGCGUGAGUGACGGUAAUGGGUAAAGAAGCACCGGCUAACUACGUG
rnacentral:rRNA from 1 species